GGGUUUGAUGAAUAAGGACUGUAGUGAAGAGAUCCGGUUAGCUCGGCCAAGACGUUCUGCACCCAUUGCAGCCCCCACGUUAGCAGCCCCGGUGCUACAAGCCCCCAGAAGUAAGAAAUCCCCAGUAGUACCACUACCAGAGAAGGAACCAGCCCCAGUACCAGCCCCAGUACCAGCCCCAGUACCAGCCCCAGUACCAGCCCCAGUACCAGCCCCAGCACCAGUACCAGCCCCAGCACCAGUACCAGCCCCAGUACCAGCCCCAGUACCAGCACCAGUACCAGAGGACGCUACAGCCUUAUUUGGACCUCCGCUGGAGACAGCCUUCAGAGAGCA